rnacentral:rRNA from 1 species
UACGAAGGGGGCUAGCGUUGCUCGGAAUUACUGGGCGUAAAGGGCGCGUAGGCGGACAGUUAAGUUGGGGGUGAAAGCCCGGGGCUCAACCCCGGAAUUGCCUUCAAUACUGGCUGUCUUGAGUGUGAGAGAGGUGUGUGGAACUCCGAGUGUAGAGGUGAAAUUCGUAGAUAUUCGGAAGAACACCAGUGGCGAAGGCGACACACUGGCUCACUACUGACGCUGAGGCGCGAAAGCGUGGGGAGCAAACAGG